rnacentral:rRNA from 1 species
UACGAAGGGGGCUAGCGUUGCUCGGAAUCACUGGGCGUAAAGGUGCGUAGGCGGGUCUUUAAGUCAGGGGUGAAAUCCUGGAGCUCAACUCCAGAACUGCCUUUGAUACUGAGGAUCUUGAGUUCGGAGAGGUGAGUGGAACUGCGAGUGUAGAGGUGAAAUUCGUAGAUAUUCGCAAGAACACCAGUGGCGAAGGCGGCUCACUGGCCCGAUACUGACGCUGAGCACGAAGCGUGGGAGCAAACAGG